rnacentral:misc_RNA from 1 species
AAGUCGUAACAAGGUUUCCGUAGGUGAACCUGCGGAAGGAUCAUUAACACGUAUCCAAACGUUAAAACCCCCCUCGUGAACCUUCAUCCUGCCCUUGUAACCCGCGUAGGUUUCUCCAAGCAGUCAGUGUCGGAAAGUGUCAUUGAUUGUGCAAGGAUAGCGCUUCUACGAUUCCUGUAGACCGUACACUCGGGCAGGAGCUUUGCCAAAGGGUCCCCAUGCCCCCUAAUAACCCCACAGUUUAAUGUGAAGCUCAAUGUAAUACAUUGGGUAAAAAAACCGAACAACUGUUAACAAUGGAUAUCUUGGUUCUC